rnacentral:tmRNA from 1 species
GGGGCCGACUGGUUUUGACAGCAGGGUAAACUGGUAUGUAAGCAUGCCGAGCCUGUAAUCAUGCUCGUUAAUCCUGGUUACGAACCAAUAAAUGGCGAAACCAAUUACGCGCUCGCAGCCUAAUCGAAGCAUAGUAGAUUAAGGCUUUUCCGUCAUCAGAUGGCGGACGGGCUGUCUCUCCGGAACCCUGCCUUGCGGUUCCGGGUUCAGAGGCACCAGGAAAGCAGGGCUGGUUUGCCUGGCGCUCCGGAAGGCAAACGAGAAAACAGGAGCUAAGGCUGCAGAUACCUUCGGGUAAGAGAUGCCGGUUUCUCACUGCAGCACGAAAAUUGAACACCGGAUAAGCAUGUAGAAAACAUAUGGGUUUCCUGUUUGGACCGGGGUUCGAAUCCCCGCGGCUCCACAA